GACGAACGCUGGCGGCGUGCUUAACACAUGCAAGUCGAACGGAAAGGCCCUGCUUUUGUGGGGUGCUCGAGUGGCGAACGGGUGAGUAACACGUGAGUAACCUGCCCUUGACUUUGGGAUAACUUCAGGAAACUGGGGCUAAUACCGGAUAGGAGCUCCUGCUGCAUGGUGGGGGUUGGAAAGUUUCGGCGGUUGGGGAUGGACUCGCGGCUUAUCAGCUUGUUGGUGGGGUAGUGGCUUACCAAGGCUUUGACGGGUAGCCGGCCUGAGAGGGUGACCGGCCACAUUGGGACUGAGAUACGGCGCAGACUCCUACGGGAGGCAGCAGUGGGGAAUAUUGCACUAUGGGCGGAAGCCUGAUGCAGCAAAGCCGCGUGCGGGAUGACGGCCUUCGGGUUGUAAACCGCUUUCGCCUGUGACGAAGCGUGAGUGACGGUAAUGGGUAAAGAAGCACCGGCUAACUACGUG
rnacentral:rRNA from 1 species